rnacentral:rRNA from 1 species
AGUGAACGCUGGCGGUAGGCCUAACACAUGCAAGUCGAACGGCAGCACAGUAAGAGCUUGCUCUUACGGGUGGCGAGUGGCGGACGGGUGAGGAAUACUUCGGAAUCUACUUUUUCGUGGGGGAUAACGUAGGGAAACUUACGCUAAUACCGCAUACGACCUACGGGUGAAAGCAGGGGAUCUUCGGACCUUGCGCGAUUGAAUGAGCCGAUGUCGGAUUAGCUAGUUGGCGGGGUAAAGGCCCUCCAAGGCGACGAUCCGUAGCUGGUCUGAGAGGAUGAUCAGCCACACUGGAACUGAGACACGGUCCAGACUCCUACGGGAGGCAGCAGUGGGGAAUAUUGGACAAUGGGCGCAAGCCUGAUCCAGCCAUACCGCGUGGGUGAAGAAGGCCUUCGGGUUGUAAAGCCCUUUUGUUGGGAAAGAAAAGCAGCAGGUUAAUACCCCGCUGUUCUGACGGUACCCAAAGAAUAAGCACCGGCUAACUUCGUG